rnacentral:rRNA from 1 species
AUUGAACGCUGGCGGCAGGCCUAACACAUGCAAGUCGAGCGGCAGCGGGAAAGUAGCUUGCUACUUUUGCCGGCGAGCGGCGGACGGGUGAGUAAUGCCUGGGAAAUUGCCCAGUCGAGGGGGAUAACAGUUGGAAACGACUGCUAAUACCGCAUACGCCCUACGGGGGAAAGCAGGGGACCUUCGGGCCGUUGCGCGAUUGGAUAUGCCCAGGUGGGAUUAGCUUGUUGGUGAGGUAAUGGCUCACCAAGGCGACGAUCCCUAGCUGGUCUGAGAGGAUGAUCAGCCACACUGGAACUGAGACACGGUCCAGACUCCUACGGGAGGCAGCAGUGGGGAAUAUUGCACAAUGGGGGGAAACCCUGAUGCAGCCAUGCCGCGUGUGUGAAGAAGGCC